AGCUUUGAUUUGUGAAGUAAAUGUCUGAAGGGAAUUUACAUGAGAGCUCCAAAGCCUCUAGCACAAAUGAAUCACCCAGGGACUGUUAGUGCUGAGACGACCAGAAUGGAACCUACCUAUCAGCUCAAAUCCUUCUCCUUAUUUGAGUCUCAAAGGAAAAACCUAUUUUCACUUGAAGGCUGUUUGCAGGCAGGUUCGUGCUCAUUCCUUGUGCCCAAAGAGCUCUCUCGGGAGGAGAUCCGUCCUCGGCCCGGUGGGGGGGUCCGUGCUGUUGUCCCCACAGCCACCCGAUCUGUCUUUCUCAGGCCUUUUAAGGAAACACGCUGGGCCUCUGGCUGUGUUUCAGCUGCUGCGUUCCGUUUGCGCACGGAAGCCAUUGCCUGCCACUUGGCAGGGAGAGAGCGCGUCUGCCAGCGUGGCAGAGGGGGGCGCUAAACAUAGCCGGGCGGUUCAACAGGCUUUGCUGCAGCAGCUUGUUUUCAUCUGCUGUGAAAAUGCAGGGCCCAGGGGCUGGGUCCCAUCGGGACCCUGGAAUUCCCUUGUUUGGCAGAACUUGUUACUGGAACCCCAUGCCAAGUUAAUCUUUGGUUUUCAGAGAGGGGCUCCACAGCAUGGAGCUCUGUGGGCCACUCCCUCUUGGAAUGGCCCUGGUAGUGAGGCAUAUGCCUUCUUGGACCCCUGGGUCUCCACCUUUACUGCCACAGCCUUUCAAAGUGGACAGAAAGAAACAGUGCUGAGGAAAUGUGUCAUAGCCUGAGCAGCCACAGGGACUGUGUCACAGGCCACCCUCAGCCCCAGGGCCCUGGGUCUGUUUGGAGCCUGUGUAGUAGUACUCUUGGCUUAGCUGAGGUUGCAGAUGCAAAUGCCUUCAAGGCCUGGAGCAGGCUUCAUAGAUGAGUAAGGCCACAGGAAAGACUGCUGGGGCUUGAGGCAUACGGGGCGGAAGUCUACUUACAGGCAUGCAGUUUUUAAUACCACGGCCAAAUAAAUUUCCUUUAGGCAAAUCUAGCUCUUGGACCACCAGUGUCCAUCUCUGGUCAUGGGCACUGAGUUAAAAUUCGCUGUUGCUCUGUUUGGUUUCUUAUAAAUAACUGUGCAAAGAUUUGCACUUUGGCCUGUAAAUAGAGUCCCCUAGACCUCAGGAUCAUUGACAUGGCCCCAAUGGAGGAUAGAACAGGUGAAAAUUCUGGAAGUCUUAUUGUAAACAUGUGCCUGACCGUGGAGUCACUGAAGUUGUUUGAAGAUUUGCUAUGCUCAGUAAUGCUGUUUUCAUAAAGAAUAAACAGAGUUCAUUGUGCAAUAUGUGUCCGGGAUGUGCUGAGCAUUCAGGGCCACAGGAAAGAGGAGACCAACCUACAGUAGUUGGUCAUUAAUGCACCAAGUGCCGAAGACAAGUGUUUUCAUAAAUAAAGUGCCAGGAGAAGGAAACUUCUGGAAGUGAAGCUAUGGGCUGGUCUUGGGGAUUUGGCCUCUCCUGAUCAUCAUUGUAUCUGGCAGAGCAACAGAGGCUGAGAGUCUCUGUAACCGCCCCGAGUCACAUGACUGCUAAGUGGACAAACUGACUUUGGAAUUCAACACUGAAUGUCUGUGUUGCCAGCUUUUGGCCUAUUUAUUGUUCUGUUUUAAAGGUUUCUUUACUAACUGAAUGGCUUUCACACAUAUUACACAUUAUUAAAAUACUAUCUUUCUUUUA